CGCGAAGAACCUUACCAGCCCUUGACAUCCCGAUCGCGGUUACCAGAGAUGGUUUCCUUCAGUUAGGCUGGAUCGGUGACAGGUGCUGCAUGGCUGUCGUCAGCUCGUGUCGUGAGAUGUUGGGUUAAGUCCCGCAACGAGCGCAACCCUCGCCCUUAGUUGCCAUCAUUCAGUUGGGCACUCUAAGGGGACUGCCGGUGAUAAGCCGAGAGGAAGGUGGGGAUGACGUCAAGUCCUCAUGGCCCUUACGGGCUGGGCUACACACGUGCUACAAUGGUGGUGACAGUGGGCAGCGAGACCGCGAGGUCGAGCUAAUCUCCAAAAGCCAUCUCAGUUCGGAUUGCACUCUGCAACUCGAGUGCAUGAAGUUGGAAUCGCUAGUAAUCGUGGAUCAGAAUGCCACGGUGAAUACGUUCCCGGGCCUUGUACACACCG
rnacentral:rRNA from 1 species